GUGCUUGCUCUGGCAGUACAUAAAACGAAAAUUGGAAGAAUACAGAGAAUAUUAGCAUGACCUCUGCACAAGAGCGACACACAAAUUUGUGAAGAAUUCCAUAUUUUU
rnacentral:snRNA from 1 species